rnacentral:lncRNA from 1 species
AGUGACAUCCUCCACACACUUGCAGUGGCGUGAAAAGCAGAACCAGAGAGCCUCCACUGGGAAACUCCUUUUUGAGCCAAGGUGCAGCAGAGCAGAUAAACCCUGUUUGAUGGAAAGAGGCGCUUUUUUCCCAGGAGCCUCUUUAGAACGUUU